AGAGUUUGAUCCUGGCUCAGAACGAACGCUGGCGGCACGUUUUAAGCAUGCAAGUCGAACGGCAGUGGGGGCAACUCCAUGAGAGUGGCGAACGGGUGAGUAACACGUAGGUGAUCUGCCUUGAGGAUGGGGAUAGCUUGUGGAAACACAGGGUAAUACCGAAUGAGCUGACGGGACUAUGGUCAAGUUAGUAAAGGUGCUACGGCACCGCCUUGAGAGGAGCCUGCGGCUGAUUAGCUAGUUGGUGGGGUAAAGGCCUACCAAGGCGACGAUCAGUAGCCGGCCUGAGAGGGUGUACGGCCACACUGGGACUGAGACACGGCCCAGACUCCUACGGGAGGCAGCAGUUAAGAAUCUUCCGCAAUGGGCGAAAGCCUGACGGAGCGAUGCCGCGUGAUCGAUGAAGGUCGAGAGAUUGUAAAGAUCUUUUCCAGUUGAGGAAUAAGGGUAGGAGGGAAUGCCUGCCUGAUGACGUUAAGCUGGGAAUAAGCCCCGGCUAAUUACGUGCCAGCAGCCGCGGUAACACGUAAGGGGCGAGCGUUGUUCGGAAUUAUUGGGCGUAAAGGGCACGCAGGCGGUUAUACAAGUCUGAUGUGAAAGACCUGGGCUUAACUCAGGGACCGCGUUGGAAACUGUAUGACUAGAAUCUUGGAGGGGGAGUCGGAAUUCCUAGUGUAGGGGUGAAAUCUGUUGAUAUUAGGAAGAACACCGGUGGCGAAGGCGGACUCCUGGCCGAAGAUUGACGCUGAGGUGCGAAAGCAUAGGGAGCAAACAGGAUUAGAUACCCUGGUAGUCUAUGCUGUAAACGAUGUGCACUUGGUGUUGGGCCGAUUAGGUUCAGUGCCGAAGCUAACGCGAUAAGUGCACCGCCUGGGGAGUAUGCCCGCAAGGGUGAAACUCAAAGGAAUUGACGGGGGCCCGCACAAGCG
rnacentral:rRNA from 1 species